GUUCUUGCGCCAGCAGCACAUACACUAAAACUGAAUACAGAAAAGACUACCACGGCACCUGCACAAGAAUGACACGAACGUUCACCGAGUGUUCCAUGUUUAA
ensembl:snRNA U6 U6 spliceosomal RNA